CCCCUUCUUCUCACAUAUUUGUCCAUUUCUGGAAAGUUCUCCUUUCCGGAUAUCAUUUCUGGAUAUGAAAGGCCUGCUGUCCUCAGACAGAGGGGAGUUGGUGGGACCUGUUGUGAGUAUAAGGGAAGAAGGAGAGCAGGGA